CAGCAGCCGCGGUAAAACGAAGGGGGCUAGCGUUGCUCGGAAUUACUGGGCGUAAAGGGAGCGUAGGCGGAUCGUUUAGUCAGGGGUGAAGUCCUGGGGCUCAACCUCGGAACUGCCUUUGAUACUGGCGAUCUUGAGUAUGGGAGAGGUGUGUGGAACUCCGAGUGUAGAGGUGAAAUUCGUAGAUAUUCGGAAGAACACCAGUGGCGAAGGCGACACACUGGCCCAUUACUGACGCUGAGGCUCGAAAGCGUGGGGAGCAAACAGGAUUAGAUACCCCCGUAGUCCCUGUCUCUUAUAA
rnacentral:rRNA from 1 species